UAGAUCAUUCUUUCUUCAUGGUCAAGAGUCAACAAUUGUAGGCUUUCUUUCACGUUCAAAUUAGCAAGUUCACCUUCCUUCGUGCUCUCUUGAAGACUCCAGCAGCCAUUAUAAUAAUAUUUUAAUAUGUGCCCAUUCUCUUGAUCAGCGUGUGGGAGCUUCUUCACGUGUUUCUCAUGCACGUAGAUUUCCCCAGCUUGUUCUAGGUUUUUCUUUGAUGCUUCUUCACAGAGUCUUCAAGUUCAAGGAUUUAUUGAAAAUGGAUCACUAAUUUCCAACACUCCCCCUGAUUCAUUUUAGGAUAAUCCAGACUUGUGUUGUAAAGUCUCGGACAUACCUGAAAUUUUUUCUUGUAAUUUGUCCCAUGCCUUUUAUGUCGUCUUUGUUCCAUGAUCCCUUGUAUUCUCCCGUCAAAACACUUGCACUUGCCUCAAAUGUGCAUGUUUUUUCUUCAACGAUGUCCCAUACGUCUCGGAACAUCAAAAUGCAUUUAGUUGUAGUUGUUAGCUCGGGCUCUGGCUCUCUUGGCUCUCGCUCGGGCUCUGGCCUUCUUAGUUGAGGAUGGUGAGGACAAACGCCCAUAACCAUCCGAUGUGCCUAUCUCUGGCUUCACGAUCCUUUACACCUGGCUCAGUUACGAACCUGGGUGCAACUGGCUCUGAUACCAUGUUAAAAAAUUUUGGAUGUGUGUGCUGCGGAAGCAUGAUUUUGGUAUUAGUUAUAGUUUUUGGUUAGCGACGUGUGCAAGUGUAUGGUAUAGUUUGUAUUUGAUAGAGGAUGGACAAGGGACAAUAUGUGAUAGUUGGAGGAUAUAAGACACAGGAUAUGGGGGAAAAUAGUUUCAUUAGUUGGAUAAAAUAGUUUGAUAGAUCUAUGACUUCUCAUGGUGGAGGAUUUUCCCACACAAGGUGGACCUCUCACACGAUGGAGGUAUUUCCCUCUCCAUACAAUUACAUGAUCAACAUUCAAGCCUAUUUAUAGGCGUGAAUCACCGCCAUCCUUCACCGACAUUAGUACAAAAAAUAAUAUAAAAUUACAGCUUGCUUCUUGUCUUCUUUUGUUGCGACUUCUUCCGCAUCUUCUGGUGGCUUCUCCAUUUAUCUUCAUUUUUUUAUUCUUUCGGCUGCCCACGUACUCUAGAUCAUUCUUUCUUCAUGGUCAAGAGUCAACAAUUGUAGGAUUUCUUUCACGUUCAAAUUAGCAAGUUCACCUUCCUUCGUGCUCUCUUGAAGACUCCAGCAGCCAUUAUAAUAAUAUUUUAAUAUGUGCCCAUUCUCUUGAUCAGCGUGUGGGAGCUUCUUCACGUGUUUCUCAUGCACGUAGAUUUCCCCAGCUUGUUCUAGGUUUUUCUUUGAUGCUUCUUCACAGAGUCUUCAAGUUCAAGGAUUUAUUGAAAAUGGAUCACUAAUUUCCAACAAAG
rnacentral:lncRNA from 1 species